GACCAACCCUUAAAGACUGCUGCAUCUUUAGGAUAUUCUAGUCCAACAUCGAGGUCACAAACUCUCUUUUCGAUAAGAACUCUCAAAGAGAAUUAUGCUGUUAUCCCUAUGGUAACUAAUUCCAUUGAUCAAAAUUUCUGGAUCAAAACCUGUAGGUUUUAUUAGUAAUAAAGAAGCUUUAUUUGUUCCAUAGUCGCCCCAACCAAAAUCUAAAAUAGAUUAAUAUCUAAAAUUAUAUUUUAUUUUCAAUUUAUUCUUUUAAAGCUCAAUAGGGUCUUCUUGUCCUUCAAUAAUAUUUAGGUUUCCUCACCUAAAAAUCAAGUUCUAGAAAAUUAUAUAGAGACAGUUUUGUUCACGUCAAACCAUUCAUACUAGCCCUCAAUUAUAGGGCAAAUGAUUAUGCUACCUUUGCACGGUCAGAGUACCGCGGCCGUUAAAAAUUAUUCACUGGGCAGGUCCGACUC
rnacentral:rRNA from 1 species